AUGGGAUGGGAUGGGAUGGGAUGGGGAUGGUUCUCAGCCUCCUGACCUCAGCUCUGCUUUCUCUUUCCCCACAGCUGACGGCGUGACCCCAGGUGCCACCCAAGGACUGGGACGUCCCCAACCCAACUGCGGUCUGCGGUCCCCAGAGCAAACCGUGGCAUGAGGAAGGUCUGAGCCGGACCCCCACCCUCCGCCACCUCCCGGGGACAAAGCAAUGGACACUGCGGCCGUGCGGAGCCAGGAUGCCCCGCUGACGGUCAAUGAGCAGGUCAUCGUCAUGUCCGGCCAUGAAACCAUCCGUGUGCUGGAGGUCGGUGUGGACGCAGCACCUCAAGGCGAGGAGGAGCGCAGAGCAGCGGCGGUGCCAGCAGGAGGCAGCGACCUGCAGGAAUCCCCGGCACGGAGCGGCGAUGCCGGCACCGAGGACGGGCAGCCCGGCACCGAAACGCAGCGCGGCACAGAGACGGCAGGCAAAGCCAAGCCUCCAACCGGAGCCCCCGCCGGCACAACGGGCACCGUGAGCCCCUCCAGCAGCCAACAGCCGCAGCCCCUGGCCCCGCUGGCCGUGCAAGCAGCCCCGCAGUAUUGCAGGUCAAGUGGCAGGUCAGCAGGGGCUGGCUGUGUGGACAUUUCCUACAGCAACGGUCGCUGCCCUUCCCGGACUGACGGCUGCUUCUCCUACAGGGGGAAUUUUCAAACCGCCUAUAGCCAAUCUGCAAGGUAACCGGUGCUCUUCUGCUUUGCAGCAUCCUUAAUUGCACGCUGCUCCUCCCCGGCUUGCGCCGAACCGCGGCCGUCCUCUCCCGGAGGGGUCUGCACCGGUGGUUAAUGGCGGGCGUUGGAAGAAGCAGGGUUUGUCGGGACCCCCCCGCGUCCGAAAGGUGCUGGGAGAGCGGGAGAGGGGCGGGCAGGACGGAGGAUGGCGGUGGGGUCUUCUGCUUUGCAGCAUCCUUAAUUGCACGCUGCUCCUCCCCGGCUUGCGCCGAACCGCGGCCGUCCUCUCCCGGAGGGGUCUGCACCGGUGGUUAAUGGCGGGCGUUGGAAGAAGCAGGGUUUGUCGGGACCCCCCCGCGUCCGAAAGGUGCUGGGAGAGCGGGAGAGGGGCGGGCAGGACGGAGGAUGGCGGUGGGGUGAGACGAGGACCGGCGCGGGGUUCGGGGCCGGGGGCAGCCGUGGGG
rnacentral:lncRNA from 1 species